rnacentral:misc_RNA from 1 species
AGGUGAUUUGCGUGACCUCGUCGCUUUUUCUAUUCGGCCGCUCGCGUCGGACAGUGCCCUCCCUCCUACCCUACCCUGUCCCAUCCUUUGCAUUAUCCACCAUCAGCACCACGCAUUGGCGUAUUGUUCUGCGCUCUGAAAGAGGCACACGAGGAAAGAGGGCACGAGAUCAAGAAAGAGGCCCGCGCAUCUCUCUCCCUUCAAUACGUUUGUGCGCCGCAGGUGCUGUUGUUUUUCACAUCUUUGGCUUGUGUGCCCCUCUUCCCUCUCUUCGUCGCUUUCUGUCCGGCAACGGCGGUCCACCCGCGCAGGGGCUCCGCCAGAGGAGGGGGUGUACAAGGGAAAAGCGCCCAGAAGGUGUCCCAGCUCACUAGCGGAUUACAGGUAUCGCGAUGGAGGCAGUAGGCACAUCAUCGCGUGAUGGUGUGGCAGCAACUGCGCCACCGGACCGGUGCGGCGAUUCUGACCCCGCGCACGCCAUCAACAUCCUCGCACUCAGCGGCGAGAGCGAUUGUCACAGCCGCGGUGCUAGAGGGCAGUCUUACGCGGAAACAGUCAACAUGAACCCCACCUCUUCUAGCUCUCGCUCCUCGCCUCGAAUGGAAGUACACGAGACCAAUAACGCCGGUGCGUUCGUCGUCGCUCCUGCUGCAGCGGCCGGGGCUUCGGAGGUGCUCACCUUAGAUGAGCUCCUGGACGGGCCUGCUGGCUGCCGAGAUUCCACCAGUGAAGCGCCAGCACACUUGCCGGUUAUUAAGUUUCUGACGACGCCACACAAGGACAGUGGCGACAAGCAGAGGGAAGCGCCUGCUGCAGGUCCUACCUAUGCAGAGAAAGCUGCCGCUGCAGCGGCUUCUACUGAGCGCUCGGAGACGACCGCCCUUGCUGAGCUUCCUGCUGCGGCGAAUCUCGCCCCCCUCUCGUCCUCCCGAGAAGUACUGUCGAGUGCGCGAGCCUGGAGCUCGCCUCUUCGAGACUCAGUCGCGGCAGCCUCUGCGCAUCUUUCUGCCCUCCCGGCAGGUGCGGGUAGUAGUGAAGUGCCUCUCUCGGUGCCCACCACAGCUCGUGCGGACCCCCUCGUAGCAGCUGCGGCAGAAUCAGCCGCAUCGCAGUUGCAGGAGGAGACGACCCCGUCGCAUGUUAAAGACGACACCGCUGCCGGUCUGCAAGCGGCAGCAAUCGGCAACGUCGCUGAGAAGUCCCCCAUCGCUAAAAGACCAGCUACAAAAGCGGAGGGGUCACCAAGGGCACUGACGCGAGCUGCAUCCCUCUCCGCUGCGCGUACGGCGCGGCAGGGCGUAGGCCGUGAGCACAACUCGUCCGCCGCGACACCGUUGAAGCGAGUAAGCAAGGGUAGAAGCGCCACGCCCGGGUGCGCCGCUGCGCUGCUGCGUGACAUACUGGGCACUGCCACGCCUGCGGACAGAGCGGCGGCUGAUGCGCGCAAGAGCAGGGCGGCCUCCACAGCACCACCUCCAAUCUCCACGCUUGACUUGCCCGUCGGGCUGCUCCUCCUGUACUGCGCCGCCGAGGAGACGUGCACCUCGUUGGAAGGCGGCGCGACUCCGUCGAUCUCCUCCGCCUCGGCCUACUCGCUGCUUUACAUUCUGGAGCAGAUCUCCGACUUACGGCGCCGCAAUCACCGGCAAGCGGCACUAAAGCAGGCCAGCGAGCUGGAGCGUGCGAAAUGCGAGGAGCUCUACGAAGCGGCGGAGAAGAAGCGCGCAUUGGCCGCGGCCCAACGAACCGCGCACGCACAGGCGGUAGAGCAGGAGGAGCUUCGCGCCUGCACGUUCCGCCCGGCUGUGUCGAAGAUGGCGCGGCGUAUGGAGGCGAAGGGCGCGAAGAACUUUAUGGAGAAGUGUAUGGCGUGGAGGGCGGAGGCGGAUCGCCGGCUGCGCCAGAGGUGCGACCGCCUUGCUGAGCUGGAGGCGGAGCAGCGGGCUGCGGCCGCAGCGCAGAGCGGCAUGUUGACACCUGGCAAGGCGGUCACGGAGGGAAGCCGACGCCUACUGGCACAGCCGAGCGUACAAGAGCGACUCAGGUCCCGACCGUGCUUAUGGGAGGUGAAACGGCCAAGCGAGGGUCCGAAGGAGGGUGGGGUGAGUGUACUUGUGCCCGCACAUGUACUAGCCGACACCGCAACAUCGUCUCCACGGCUGCUCGGCGCACCAAUCACUUCCUCGACAGCGGAGGAGCAGGAGGCUGUCUUGCGCGAGUUGUGCCGGCCCGGUACUGAGGCAGGAGUGUCAGGCGAUCUAACGCCGCAGCUGCCGCAGAGCACGUCUACUUCUCGCGUGCCCAAAAACAGUAGGGGCACCGUGAAGGGGUUCCUGAGCCGUGUCGAGCAGGAUGCGGAGCGUCGCGAACAGACCGUGGCGAAGCUGCAGGCACGCUACCACAACCCCGACACGGAACUCUUUGAGGGUGAAACAGGGCGGCCGUUUUUUCGCCCCAACGCGAUGCCGAUGGCGUGGAAGGACGGGCACCGCGUGAGCUACGUCGAGCUGCCCAAGGAGAAGCAGAAAGACUUUCGUGCAGAGCUGCGCCGAGCCGGGCUCGACUUUGUGCUGGCACAUUACCUGCGAGAGCGUCAGAGAGAGAAACAGCAGAGCGUCACCGGCAGCGGCCGGGUGUCGUCGGUAGCAUCGCAGGGCAAUGGCGCCGACGUCGCUGAGGGAAGCACGGCACCUCGGCACUCCACCUCGUCGCAGUCGCAUGGACACGCCAUGACAGUGGCGCAUCAGGCGCGCUUCAUGGCGUCGCUUGAGGCGGCGCUGGCGCGCAAGCAGAAGAACUGGGAGCGUCUGCGAGCGCAGGCGACGGCGGAUGAAACCUUCCACCCCCAAAUCACCAAGCGGUCAGCGAGGAUGGCGCUUCACAAGACAGGUGGCACACCUAUCUAUGAGCGCCCAACGGAGCUCAGGAGGGGGGCCAGCGCGCAAGGUGCUCGGUCGGAGAAGUCACAGGGGCAGCCCUCUUCUGCUGUUCGCAAAGAUAGGCCGCUGCCCGAGGUGGCGCAGGUUUUUCUCGACCGAAGCGGGAAGUGGAUGGAGUCACGGCAGCGGCGGCUGCAGCAUCUCGCAGAGAUGGAGGAGGAGCGGCGGCGCGCUGAGUGCACCUUCACCCCGAAUCGCUACUUCGGGGACGCGUGCGAGAAGACAGAGGUUCCUCGCGGCACGGAAGUGAGUCGGACGGGUGCGUCGUCGCAUACGGACUCGCUAGUGGCGCCAGACGCGGGUGGUGGCGAUGCCGAGGGCUACCGAGACACUUCUCAGGCCCGCGUGCUGCUGCAGGAUCUGAUGGCAUCGGCAGCUGACGUGCGCGUGAUGAAUGAGCUGGAGCUGCUCCGCUCCGGUGCCGCCUACCGCGAUGAGCGCUUUGUUCAGGCGGUUUGCGAGCAAAGCGGGCUGGCCGACACGAGGCGAGCCAUGGCAAACCUGUCUCUCCAGUCUGCACCGCGCCUCACCAGAAGCCGCAAGGACGCGUGGGAAGCAUCGAGACCGCCUCACCAGUCUGCCGCGACUCUGUUCCAGUCGCCCCUCUCCCCUAUUCCCCAGAGAUCCAACCGGCCAUCCGCCUCGCCAUACCCGCUGCCGCGCCGGGGCACCCUCACACCGUUCUCGUCCUUCCACGAUAGCGCGCCGAAGUCGGUGCCAACGCUGUCGCAAGGCGAAUCGGCGCAGACGCCGAUGCCUCGCACCGUAGCCAGGGACGCUACAGCGGCUCGCUCUGGCGUUCGCGAUUUCGCACUGAGCUUUCCGCCCGUGGAGGACCCGUGGGCGGCGCUCGACGCGCAGACCGACGCUAUCCUCAAGCGUCAUGGGCGCUAACAAAGGAAGAUGAAAGGGGUGGUAUCCAUCGGGUAUCCGAAUCCUGUCCUCGCCAUCAGCCUCAUGCUGCUACUCAUACUCUCUCGUGGGUGCAUGUGCGCUUGUAUAUAUGUUUGUUUGCGUAUUCUUCCGGCGUCUGUGUAGACCGGCUGCUGCUGAUCGCGUGCGCUGUCUCACUGCAGUCUACUAGAGACACCGGCGCGCUUGCACCGCCGCAGUGACUACUAGCCCCCAACACGAAAAAGCAAAACACAGGAAGAACGCAAAGAAGAGCCACUGCCAACUGCUUCUUGUCGCCCCUCUCCCUUGCACUCGCACGGGUGUCUGUGUGUGCGUGCGUGUGUGCGUGUGCCUGUGCAAGCCGAGGAGGAGGAGGGGCGAGCGCAGCGUGCGAGUGUGUCUCUGUCUCUCUCUCUCUCUGUAUGUGUGUGCUUUGCGGAGGCUGGCUGCUGAGUCGGAUAGGGUGGCAUAAUCUGCGUGCCAUCUGGUUUCUCCCCUCUCGGUGCCUGCUUCCCCACUCGCACUCUCUCUCGCUUUCGCUGGCUCAGUCGUCAAAUCGAGGGCCCAUUCUGCACGGCAGGCCCGCCAUGUACUGUCGCACCUCCUUUACCGCAGCGUCCUCGCUCCCUUCCUCGAGAGCUCCGCUUUCCGUGAAGUGC